rnacentral:lncRNA from 1 species
GCCGAGAGAACUGGGUCAUGGCAUCCAACCUGGUCUAGGGUGUUGCAGAGAGCUCUUUGGGAAAGUGUUGUCUACAGCGACAUUCCAAAGAUGAGGAGGAUCAGGUGGAGGAGGAGCGGGCUGUGCAAAGGCCCUGAGGCAGGGAGGAGUUCAGCAUGCUCUUCAAGGAACUGACAGCAGGCCAAGAGAGCUAGGUCACACAGGACAAGAGUGGGGACAGGAGGCUGUGCAGGACCUUGUGGGAGGGCAGCAAGAGUUUUAAAAAACUUCAUAGUGAGGGUGAACAUGCCCAUUUUCUUGGUUUGUUUCUUGUUUUGUUUUUUUUUUUAAAGAUUUUAUUAUUUUCCUUUUUCUCCCCAAAGCCCCCCAGUACACAGUUGUAUAUUCUUAGUUGUGGGUCCUUCUAGUUGUGGCAUGUGGGACGCUGCCUCAGCAUGGUUUGAUGAGCAGUGCCAUGUCCACGCUCAGGAUUCAAACCAAUGAAACACUGGGCUGCCUGCAGCGGAGCACGCGAACCCAACCACUCGGCCACGGGGCCGGCCCAUGUUUCUUGUUUUUGAAAGUUCUCUCCCACAACUUUGUGAGGACUGGGUCUCGGGGAGUGAAAAGUCAGGGGCAGAACGUGUCAGGGGAGCCUGUGGGGAUUUGCUGCCCCUUCUACUGUCCUGUGUGAGUCGGGACCCAACUGUGUCACUCCUGCAGUGAAGGCCUGACACUCCCCGUCACCUACGGAGGGUGCCGAGGUCCUCAGGACCCAGCCCACCUGCUCCUCCUGUCCCCUCUCUGUGUCCCUGCAGACUGGCAGUUAGGUGACAGCUCCUUGUCUGGUCCCUGAGGUCAUGUCAUCUCGCCUGUCCUUGAGCUGUUCUUCUGCUUGGAAUGUCCUUGCUGCCCCACCCCCUCAGUCCACGUGGCGGGGCUCCCACCUCACCUCCUCCAGGGGCCUCUGCUACACAUCUGGCCCGGGUGGGCCCACCUGGCCCCUCCGACGAUCUGAGGGCAUCUGGCCCUCGGUGCCAUCCACUGGGCAGUGACUGCCCCUGUAUCUCCAUAGCCUGAGCUCCUCAGGGUAACGACACCCCCAUCGACCGACCUUUGUUCCCCACGGAGCUCUGGGCUCCCAUCCACUUGUGUGGACUAGUGGCUGACUGAGGUCAGAGCUCUGGAGUCAGGAACUCAGACCCAGCAGAGGGCGACUGAGGAUGACGGGAGGGAGGAGCAGGUGGGAGCAGGCAUCACUGGGCCGGGGGGGCCGACCUGCAUGGGCACCAUCCCCAGGACAGCAGGGCAGCCGGGGCCCCGCUGCAAGGUGAUGUCAGUGGUCCUGGGAAGCCCUGAGGUAGUGUGGGUGAGGGUGGAGACACACAGACAGCAGACUCAUUGCAGGAUGUUUGGAAGGUGCCGGAAGUAAGACUCACUGGGAUGGGACGUCAUGUCACGUGGACAGUGAGAAAAGUCAUGACGACUUGAGUCUCUGUGCUCAGAGACUCUGCGGAGACUCUCCUGACCCAGGGAAACGUGCGGAGAGGCCUGAACUUCAGAAAGUUAGAAAUCUGCUGGGCGUGCUGUGUGAUGGUCACUUUCAUGUGUCAACUUGGCUGGGCCACUGGGUGUCCAGAGAUCCAGUGAAACAUGACUCGGGGUGUGUCUGUGAGGGCGUUUCAGGGAGAGAU